rnacentral:sRNA from 1 species
UUCUUUAGCCUGUGGGAAUGAAAAGAUCAUGGGCAGAAAGCCUCAGUUCAAACUUUGCUUAAAUCAUUUUCAUUUUUUAAGUAUUUGCCAGCGGUGUUCCAGGCAUCGGGGGAAUACAUCAGUGAACAUGACAGACAAGGAGAGUCACCAAAAAGUAGAGAGCAAUAGAAGGAGGAGGAGAAUAGGAUUCACAUGUAUUGAAUGUCUUUUAUACACCAGACCAAUGAUGCGAGCUCAGAGUCAAUAGCAUCCUUCUCUAAACAGGAGGUCAUGAGUAGCUUUCUGCCAGAGGGAGGGUGUUACGAGCUGCUCACUGUGAUAGGCAAAGGAUUUGAGGACCUGAUGACUGUGAAUCUAGCAAGGUACAAACCAACAGGAGAGUAUGUGACUGUACGGAGGAUUAACCUAGAAGCUUGUUCCAAUGAGAUGGUAACAUUCUUGCAGGGCGAGCUGCAU